CCUACGGGGCGCAGCAGUGAGGAAUAUUGGUCAAUGGCCGAGAGGCUGAACCAGCCAAGUCGCGUGAGGGAUGACGGCCCUACGGGUUGUAAACCUCUUUUGUCGGGGAGCAAAGAGAGUCACGUGUGGCUCAUUGAGAGUACCCGAAGAAAAAGCAUCGGCUAACUCCGUGCCAGCAGCCGCGGUAAUACGGAGGAUGCGAGCGUUAUCCGGCUUUAUUGGGUUUAAAGGGUGCGCAGGCGGAGGUGCAAGUCAGUGGUCAAAUUGCGGGGCUCAACCCCGUACUUCCGUUGCAACUGCAUCCC
rnacentral:rRNA from 1 species